rnacentral:rRNA from 1 species
UACGUAGGUGGCAAGCGUUGUCCGGAUUUACUGGGCGUAAAGAGCGCGCAGGCGGUCGUUCAAGUCGGGUGUGAAAGCCCCCGGCUCAACUGGGGAGGGUCACGCGAUACUGAUCGGCUUGAAGAUGGGAGAGGGUAGUGGAAUUCCCGGUGUAGUGGUGAAAUGCGUAGAUAUCGGGAGGAACACCAGUGGCGAAGGCGACUACCUGGCCCAUUCUUGACGUUGAGGCGCGAAAGCUAGGGGAGCGAACGGG